rnacentral:misc_RNA from 1 species
AAAAAAAAAAAAAAAGACUGAAAUUUUGUCUGCUAAAAGCAAAUUGAACAGAAGCUCCACACUAGAGCAAAAUAACAACAAAAAUACAAAUUAUAAGAGGGAAAAACAGAGAGAGAAGUAAAGCAACAAAAUUUUCCCUUCAAAGCACAUCUUUUCAUCCAUCACCAUACAGAAGCAAAAUCAAACAUGAUCUGCUUUAUCAGCAAAACCCAAUUACAAACUUUUCUAUGUUCACAAAGCUUGAACCUAGAGGAUUGAUUCUUUAUGGGUAUGGAUUUGAGAGGAGGGAUAUUGUGGGCGUGGGAUUUA